GGAGGGAAAGUAGUCAAGUAAGUAAAAAAAUUAGGGAGGAAUCCAAUUUCCUCGUAAGUUUCUCUUAAUGCCGCAUAAUAAUGAGAACCGUCUGAAGGUUCCACACGGCCACCAGGAAAGCACAUUUGUCCAGCAUGAGAACGCAAGUUUGGAGAACGUUGCGUGAGUAGUAAAGAAGCUCCUUGAGAAGUGUUUACUAGAGGCAUCAAAACAGAUGCAAAUCUCGUAGGCUGGUUAGUUGGUUUUAAUGGUAAGGUGGGGCGAUUUUUGUGUAAUAGGUAUAUUUGAUGAGAAAGAGAAUCCAUGGUCAAAUCUCCGUUCUCGUUUACCACGCCAUUACUCACCAAUUUCUCAAGCGGCGACUGGUGAAGAUAGGUUACAUGGUGCGAUUGACUGCUGAAAUAAUGCCUUUGGAUGUAUUUAAUAGCUUCAAAACAAACUUGAUUGUUUAAAAUACUAUUUCUUUUUGAAAAAGUAUUCUUUAGAGGACUCCAAAUAAAGCCUACCAAAGAGUUUUGCCUUGUUAAAAAUCGUUGAUGACCUUUCCAGCGGAGCUUUAGCUUCAUAAUUUGGGAUUUCUUGUCCAACUCUGCGAAUUCCGCUUUUCACCAGGCGUUGGAAUGUAGAACUUCUAGCAAUCUAAAAUUGAUUAGUACGUAUAUCUAUUAAGAUGAAGUCGUUUUAUACCCUUGAUGCGACGUAGGUGGAAAGU